CAAUCCCUUAACCGCGAGGCACGGCUUCAUUUGCCGUUUCACCAACGGCCAGCAGACGGCGCCCGACUCUCCUUGGGAUCAACCGGCGCCUCAACAGUUGAGGGAAACUCAAGCUCAGGUUCUCCGACAUUCUGAGAUUCCCAGUCGAAGCUUACAUGGCCCUUCCAUGGCGCUUAGCAGACAACAAGGAUGUGCUGGUGUCAGAAGCUUCGCUGGGAUGGUGCAGGGGACUUGGCCACCUAAAACCUUGCUCUCUCUCCACCUCAUUUUCCCAAGUGCGGUGGGACUACAAGGGGAACGUCUUCACCACUGACAGCUUGGGGUCCUUUGGACCUGUGAUCAGGCCAUCCAGCCAGUGUGAAGAUGAUGUGGGGCAGGAGUCCCUCCCUGAAGGGAGAGGAAGAGGAGCAGGGCUUUCUGCUGGCCCCCUCCAGCUGCACCCUAGUGUCGGGAACCACCACGGGAGAUCCCACUCAUGACAAGGUCAUGUGGAAGAGAACUGUUAAGCAAGGCUUCAGGACUUAACGGGCUCUCUAGGCUUUUUAAAAUAUCUACCCCAAAACCAGAAUCUGUCUGUUUCAUUAUUUUAUGACUUUUACCAACUUUUCUGACAUUAUCAGGGGGCUAUCCCUGACCACCUUUUUCUGGAGAAAAUCAACCUAGGGCUAUAGCUAACAAGUCUCUUGGACAUGAGAGGAAGAUUUUAAAUCAAACCCCUUUUGUUAGCAUUUUAGCUUGUUUGGCAGGUCUAUCUAGACUCUUGUAGCUACGCAUGUGAUUAUUUGUAGCCUCUCAACUGUGAGAGGCACGGAAAGCCUAAAACAUAGAGCCUUUUAAAGAGUUAAAAGUUAUUAGAGUCGUGUUGGUGUAGGAUUUUAUUAUUGGGCCACUGUUUGUUGUUAAGUUCCCAUAUCUCUUAUCCACUGUGUACCUGGGAGUGUAUUAGUUAACAUAGUUGGAAUGUAAGAAAAACAAGUGUAGUCUUAAAAUUAACCACAUCAGACUUUUGAGCUAAUCGGUUUUUUUUUUUUUUUUAAUAACUCACUGCACCUUUGCUCGGUGAGAAAUGUAACUCUGUUUAACAUUUUCUGAGGCUGACAUAGAUUAAAAAUACAGAGAAAAAACAUUUCAAGGGAAAAUAAGUUUUCUGGUUGAGCAGCCUUUAUCAAAAGAGGGUCAUAAAAUGUCCACAGGCCUCCAAGGCCAGAAGAUAAUGUACACAACAUUGUCUAUGGGAAAGGUUUGCAGAAAAAAUCCUGGUUUUGAUAAAGACAAAACAGAUGUAAUGUUUGGGCUGACUCUGUAUGACUUUACAUCUUUCAUUUCCCUCUAUGUAAAAGUAAAGGUAUAAAAGACCCUUUUGAAAAUAAAAACAAUGGGCCUCGCUCGAAGAAGCUUGGUCACCCCACGUUAAUCAUUCUCUCUCUCUCUCUCCCUCUCCCUCUCCCUCCCUCUUCUUUUCAG
ensembl:lncRNA